AUAGUCGUAUACAAUUAUGAGUC
rnacentral:miRNA from 1 species